rnacentral:lncRNA from 1 species
CCUGUGGCUUGGUGCAGCUGCUGUGGUGCAGGUUUGAUCCCUGACCUGGGGAACUUUGGCCUGCCAUGGAUGUGGCCAAAAAUAAAGUAAAAUAAAAAAAAUAAAUAAAAUAAAAUUUCCCCCAAUGAGCAAGUUCUUUACAUUAGUAAUGGUCACCUGCAAGUCUAGGUGAAUAAGAUUCUGAAGCCCUGUUAAAACAUAUUAGAGGAGGAGUUCCUGUUGUGGCUCAGUGGUUAACGAAUCUGACUAGGAACCAUGAGGUUGCUGGUUCAAUCCCUGGCCUCACUCAGAAGGUUAAGGAUCAGGCAUUACCGUGAGCUUUGGUGUAGGUCGCAGACACAGCUCAGAUCCCGAAUUGCUGUGGCUGUGGUGUAGGCCGGUGGCUACAGCUUCUAUUAGACCUCUAGCUUGAGAACCUCCAUAUGUUGCAGGUGCGGCCCUAGAAAAAGACAAAAAACAAACAAACAAACAAAAAAAAAACCCACAUUAGAAAGAAAGGCGGGAUUGAUGACUGAUAUCUGACAUGGGCAUGUGAUGGGACGGUAGUAGAGAUUUAUAUUCCUAAUCUAUUUUACUCCCCUCUUUUAGAAGUCUGAAUAGAAAGAAGUAAGAUCAUUACAUGUGGCUUAAGAACAGAGUGUUGAAUGUGAUUAUGGAGUCAGGGCAGGCUCAGAAUCAAAGUGGUUAUUUUUCUUUUCUUUCCGUGUGUGUGUGUGUCUAUGUCCACAGCACACAGAAGUUCCCAGGGCAGGGACUGAACCUUUGCCAUAGCAAUAACCUGAGCCACAACAGGGACAAUGAUGCAUCCUUAACCACUAGGCCACCAGGGAACACCUUUUUGCUUUUAAUGAUAAUUCCCAGUGCUGAUAAUGUGCAAGAAAAUGGCACUUUCAGAUACUAUUUGUGAGAACAUAAACUGGUAUAAUUUUUCAAGAGGACAAUUUGACAAUAUGUAACAAAAACCUUAAAAGUUUGCAUAUCCUUUGAUCUAGAAAUUCUACAGUCAGAAAUUUAUCCCGGGAAUGUGCAGAAAGACUUUAUGAAGUUGUUUGUUCGACCAGUCUAUAGUAAUAGAACAUAACAUCAACCUAAGGGUUUGCCUGUAGGGAAUUCACUUAAGGCAGUAUGCUAUCUCAUCAGUGACCUUUCAGUCAUUCAAAUAUCACAGAAUACGUGUAAGGGCACAGAAAGAGGUUGAUGACAUAUCAUUGAGUGAAAAAAAAAAAAAAAGGUCUAAAGUAGUGUGUUCAGGGAGUUCCCAUUACGGCUCAGCAGAAACGAAUCUGAUUAGCAGGUUCGAUCCCUGGCCUCACUCAGUGAGUUAAGGAUCUGGCAUUGCUGUGAGCUGUGUUGUAGGUUGCAGAUGUGUCUCAGAUCCCGAGUUGCUGUGGCUGUGGCGUAGGCCAGCAGCUGCAGCUCCAAUUCAACCCCUAGCCUGGGAACCCCCAUAUGUCUCAGGUGUGGCCCUAAAAUACAAAAAAUAAAAAUAAAAUAAAAGUAGUAUAUUCAGUAAAUCCCAUUUUUUAUUUUUUAAAAAGGGAUUUAUGCAUAUAAACAUGAGUGGAAUAAGAAGUCUCACAGAGAACUCUUCCUCAUAUUCUGCGAUAAUCUAUAUGGGAAAAGAUUCUGAGAGAGAAUGAACAUGUAUAUGUGUAUGACUGGCUCCUUUUCACAACCUUGUGAAUUACCUAUACAUUACUAAAACUUAAAGAAAAACAUGUCUCAGUAGUUCUACCAAAGUAUUAAUAGUUAAUAUUAGAAUGUUAAUAUUACCUGAUGGUAAGAGUAGGGAUAAUUUAUAUUUUCUUCCUUUUGCUUAUCUGAUUUUUCAAAAUUUUCUAGAGGGAAUUUAAUUUUUUUUAAAGAUAAAAGCUUUGGAGUUCCCUAGUGGCUCAGUAGGUUAAGGACCUGGUGUUGUCACUGCUGUGGCUCCAGUCAAUCCCUGGCCUGGGAAAUUUCUACAUGCCAUGGGUGCGGCCAAAAAAAAACAGGAAAAAAAGCUUUAAUAACAAGUACUUUAAAUUACAGUUGCCAGAUACCAUGGGAUAUACAUACACCAAAAGAUGAUUUAUUGUUUAAUCUGAAAUUUAAAUUUAAGAGGGUGUUUUGUAUUUUUAUUUGCUAAAUCUGACAAACCUACUUUUUACUUUUUUUGGCCAUGCCCAUGGUAUGUGCAUCAAAUCUGCACCACAAGCGGCAACAGAGACAACCCCAGAUCCUUAACCCACUGAGGCACAAGGGAGCUCCAGGAAAGACUGCUUUUAAUGCAAAGCAAUCAAAGGGGAGCUGGGGCCUGGACCCCAAUGUGCUGGCCACUUGGAGGACCGGAGGAGAGUCAUGGAUUGUUUCAAGUCUUUUAAACCAGGAAAUAGGAAGGGAGAUGCAUUUGGAAGCCAUAUAGAUGAUACCUGGACUCUGCUACCACCACCACCAUCCUCACUCCCCCACCCCAGCCCCAUUCACCCCACAAUCUGGAUGUUCUGGGGCAAGUCCCUUGUCUCCCCUGAGCCUCAGUAAAUUAUUAGCCUGAUUUGCCGGCAUCAAAUGAAAACAUGUGUGUGCAGGCACUUUGUAAACUGCAAGUGCCAAGCAGCACAUUAUUAUCAUGUGAGUAAAUUAUACACACAAGGACGCAAUGAACAGGAACAAAACAUCUGCACAAGACAACUGCAGAAUUGUUCCUUGCAGCAGAUUUUUAAUGGCUCUCUGAGGUCAAAACAACUCAAGGUUUAGUCACUCCAGGACCGAACCCAUACAUUAACAUCUAUCCAGAUUGUUCUUACGACCCUAUUUAUAGAUGCACUGAUCGUUAAAUAGUGUUGGAACACUUGGCCACAAGUCGGUUGUUAAAUGUCUUGGCGAGUGGCUCAGAGGAAGGCCGCGUGCUUUACGAGGCUGGCAGCUCAUAACUCCAGGCCCUCACCUUAUCCUCGCACAGCAGGCUCAGUCACCUUGGAAACUGCCCUAUUCUAGAUGCAGAGCACAGAGCGCCCCGGCUGACAUGGAAUUAAUCAGCAGCCGCCUUCUCUUCUGGUCUCUGUUACUGAAAAACAGUCAGUGCCUCUCCCACUGCUUUAGGAAGGAUCCAACGGUGAGGUUUCAAGGAUUUUCCAGGGGGAAUUAAGACAGGAGUUUGACAAAAUAGAAAAACAACAUGAAGGAGAAAGAAAUUAAGGGAGAAGGAAAGCGGAAAGGAGGGAAGGAAAAAAGAGAAGGAAAAAUCAGAAGGAAGAAAAUGAGAGCAUUUAUCCUACUUUAUAGAUGAGGAAAGUGAGGCCCAGAGGCCCAAGGUCACAUGACCAGCAACAGCUCCUCCUGGGAACCAGCCANNNNNNNNNNNNNNNNNNNNNNNNUGACACAAAAAUGCAGCAUAUUAGGAGUUCCUGUCGUGGCACAGCGGAAACGAAUCCAACUAGGAACCAUAAGGUUGCAGGUUUGAUCCUUGGCCUCACUCUGUGGGUUAAGGAUCCGGCGCUGCCAUGAGCUGUGGUGUAGGUCGCAGACGUGGCUUGGAUCUGGUGUUGCUGUGGCUCUGGCUUAGGCCGGCAGCUGUAGCUCCUAUUGGACCCCUAGCCUGGGAGCCUCCAUAUGCCACGGAAGUGACCCUAAAAAAAAAAAAGACAAAAAUUUAAAAAAAAAUGCAGCUUAUUUGCAAAGUGGUAGAGCACAGGGGAGCAACAGUGAGAGGCAGCCCCCACCCCUCCACACACACACCACCAGCCCUCACCAGACGCUACCCCAGAUCUGGGACUCCCCAGUCUCUAGAACUCUGAGAACUAGAUUCGUUUAAGCCACCCAGUCCAUGGCAUUUUGUUCUAGAAGCCCAAGAGCAGGCUAAAACACCUGCUACUACUGUUUAACUUUAUGGAGGAACAUGCAGGGAAACCACUGACAACCACCAAGGUCAACCUCAGCUCAAUUCUAAAGACUCACCCCCAAACCUCUGCAAUGUAGCAGUUCUCGCCUUUCCUGCUUUAUCCCAAACGGCAACUUAGAAACUGCAGCCACUGCGUCUCUGCCGUCUUUCUUAAUGUCUUCAUUCAUCCCUGCUGCGUGAAGCCACCUUCUAGUCCAAGGUGUUCGCUAAUCUUCCAAGGCAGAGGGAAGAGAGUCACCUUGCAGGAUUGAGGGAUUUGCCUCCCUAUCCCCACGCUGAAGCAGGGCCUGAACACAAGUGGGCAGAACUAGGUUUCUCUUCUCAGCCAGGGUUCUCAGUUGCCGAGUUCAGUAAAUUUCCAGAGAGCCAACUUUUAUGGGUCCUGCAAUUGCCCGUUUGUACGUUUAUGCACUUUUUCAAAAAUCCAUGAUUUGUUUGGAGGCUGUCAAAAGACAUGUAAGGAAAGGCCAGGAUCCAGGAUCUUAGCAAUUUUUUGAGACCCUGAGGAAGGGGUUGAAGAGAUUGUUCCAAAAGACCUGACCUCUAAAGGUCACAGUAAUGCAAAUGCAAAUGAGUUACACCCUCCUGUUGUCUGACUCCCAGAAUGGUAAUUCCAUCUCAGAUGGUGAUCAGAUAAAUGACUCUCACUUCACUUACAAACUUACCCUGAGCCUUUUAUUCUCAAGGGCACUGAGGAAACUGAAGCUUUUUCCUGAAUUCUUUUAAUCAGAAUGAAGAAAACUGGCCCAGGAUGACCUCAAGACAGGAACCACUAGUGUCAAGGAAUCCUUUUUUUUUUUUUUGAGGAGGAGGAGGGGGGACUGCACCCCUGGCAUGCAGAAGUUCCUAGGCCAGGGAUCAAACUCUCACCACGGGAGUUCCCACUGGGACUCAGCUGGUUUUGAGCCUGACUAGUAUCCAUGAAGAUGAGGGUUUGAUCCCUGACCUCGUAAGUUAAGGAUCCUGCGCUGCUGUGAUGCAAAGGCAGCUCAGAUCCCAAGUUCUGUGGCCGUGACGUACAUAGGCCAGCAGCUGCAUCUCCCAUUCAACCCCUAGCCUGGGUACUUCCAAAUGCCACAGGUUCAGCCCUUAAAAGCCAAAAAAACCCCAAAAGAACAAACAAAAAAAAUAACACAUGCCACAGCAAUAACAAAUGCUGGAUCCUUAACCAACUGAACCACCAGGGAAUUCGCCCAUGAAUCUUUACUAAGCACCCACUAUGUGAGAGAUGCACAGCCAGAAAGAAGAGCCGACUGCACAGAUGCACAUGACUGGAAUUAGUCCCCAGCCCUGGGACAACCACCCCUCCUCCAGACUGUCUAUUCCACUGAGGUUUGGGAAACCAAUGUCUGUAAUGUAAGGAAUCUGAUCCACCCAGCAAUUCUCAACCCCAUCAGGAGGCUGCAGCUGCAGCAAAGCCCUUACGAAGAUCUACUCAAGUAUGAAGUUAGAAUGGGUUCAUCUUUCAUCAACGCACUUGAGAGGAAUAGGCACUGGAGAGGGCUGGCCCCACUCAGUGGGUGGGCAAGGUGGGCCUCCACCUGGGGAGCAGGAGGCUUGGCUGAAAAAAUGAUGGAGUGUCCUUGGAGCUCAGGACUUUGCAUGCCCUAAAUCUUAGGUAUUUUUGGUUGGGGCUGGGAGUCAGGGACCAAGGAUAUUGAGGGAGUGAGGCAGCCUGCCAUGGCAGGCGGGGGGGCACCAGCUUCAACUUAACCUCUGAUAGGUGGGGGGACCGCAGCAGGUCAUUUCCCCUUUCUGACCUCAGCUGCCUUGUCAGUAAAAGAUAAGCUGGGUGGAGUUCCCGACAUGGUCCAUGGAAACGAAUAUGAUUAGCAUCUACAAAGACCCAGGUUCAAUCCCUGACGUUGCUCAGUGGAUUAAGGAUCAGGCAUUGCUGUGGCUGUGGCGUAGGCCGAUGGCUACAGCUCUGAUUCAACCCCUAGCCUGGGACCCUCCAUAUGCCGUGGGUGCGGCCCUAAAAUAAAAGACAAAAAUAAAUAAAUAAACAGUCAUACAAUGUAUGGUCUUUGCAACAAAAAAAAUAAAACAAUAAAAAUAAAUAAAAAGACAAAAAAUGAGUUGGUUGUUCUAGAUCUGGUGAUGGGAAUUUUUUUACAUUGUACUGUAAAACUCAUAUAUAUGUAUUCACAACAUAAAGCUUGUCAUUACUUUUAGACAACGUUUACAAUGUCGUGUGACUGUCACUCCUCUCUAGUUCCAGGAUACUUUCUUCCCCCACAAAAGCCCCACACUCCCCUUUACUCAGUUCCUGGCCCCCACUAACCUUCUUUCUAUCUCUUCUCUAUGGAUUUCCUAUUCUGAAUAUUUCAUAUAAAUGGAAUCAUACAAUAAUGUGGCCUUUUGUGACUGACCUCUUUCACUCAGCAUAAUGUUUCGAAGGUUCAUCCAUGGAUCAGCACUUCAUUCUCUUUUACAGCUAAACAACACUUCAUGGUAGAGAUAUACCACGUAUUAGCCAUUCAUCAAUUGAUGGACAUUUGGGUUGUGUCCACCUUUGGGUUGUUGUAAACAGCUAAACACUCUAUAGAUGUUUGUGUGCAACCAUUUGUUUGAGUAUCUGUUUCCAAUGUUGGGGGAUGUAUAUCCAGGAGUAGAAUGGUUGAGUCAUGUGGUGUUAUGGAUUGAAUGUUUGUGUCCUCCCAGAAUUCAGAUGUUGAAGCCCCCAUCUUCAAGGUGAUAGUAUUGGAGGUGAGGCCCUUUGGGAAGUAAGUUUAGAUGAGGAUGUGAGCGUGAGGCCCCCAGGGUGAGAUGAGUGUCCUUAUGAGAAGAGAAAGAGACCAGAGCUCUCCCCCCAAACACCCACCCCUGCCACCCAUGUGAGGACACAGCCAUCUGUAAGCCAGGAAGAGUCCUCACCAACAGCCUAAACCUGAUCUUAUACUUCCAGCCUCCAGAACUGUAAGAAAUAAGUGUCUGCUGUUUGGGAGUUCCCACUGUGGCACAAUGUUCGACUAGUAUCCAUCAGGAUGUGGGUUCAAUCCCUGGCCUUACUCAGUGGAUCGAGGAUCAGGUUUGCUGUGAGCUGUGAUAUAGGUCACAGAUGCAGCUUAGAUCCAGUGUUGCUGUGGCUGCGGUAUAGGCCAGCAGCUAUAGGUCCGAUUAGACCCCUAGGCUGGGAACUUCCAUAUGCUGCAGGUACAGACCUAAAAGGCAAAAAAAAAUUGAAAAAUAAAUGUCUGCUGUUUAAGACAGUCAAUCUAUGGGGGUUUUUGUUUUUUGUUUGUUUUGAGGUUUCUUUUUUGUCUUUUUAGGGCCAUACCUGCAGCAUAUGGAGGUCCCCAGUCUAGGGGUCCAUUCUGAGCUGCAGCUGCCGGCCUACACCAGAGCCACGGCAACAUGGGAUCCGAGCCGCAUCUGCAACCUACACCAUAGCUCAUGGCAACGCUGGAUCCUUAACCCACUGAGCAAGGCCAGGGAUCGAACCUGUGUCCUCAUGGAUGCUAGUCAGAUUCUUUUUCCUGAACCAUGACAGGAAGUCCUCAAUCUAUGUUUUUUUGCUACAGCAGCCUGAGCAGACUAUGAUAUACAGUAAUUCUGUUUAAUUUGUUGAGGAAACACCAAACUAUUUUUUCCAAUGGCUGCACCACUUUGUAUUCCUGACACUGAGAUAAGGUUUGAGAAUUCUUUUUGCUCCUCAUCCUCACUAACCUGACAAUUAAUUUUAAGCAUGGAGGGCAUUUAGUAGUAAAACCUUUUCUUCUAAUGAAAUCUGUCUUGGAAACUUAUGAUAAUAAAUCAGAUUACAGGGGUUUCCAUUGUGGCUCAGUGACAGCUCUGAUUAGCCCCCUAGCCUGGGACUUUCCAUAUGCCACAGGUGCAGCCCUAAAAACAAACAAACAAAAAUUUUAAAUAAAAUAAAAUAGAUUACAGAGAAACCGCUGGGGUAGAGGUGAUAGCACUUCUAAGGAACCCCCUAGUGUUCUAAGAAACACAGUUCGAAAACAGUUUGCUCCAGAUGGGUUUGUUAGAACCUGAGGAUCCCACCUUGAUCCCCUUCUAAGGUUCAUCCUAGUGUCUGGACGUCUGGCUUAGAUAGGACUCACCCCAUCUCUAUGCUUUUAGGAAAGGCCUCGGAUUGCAGUGCUGUUCAAGGUGUGGUAUGGAGUCCAUCAGUGAACGAAUCAGCUGGUUCUUGCUAAAAUCUCUGGGAACCCACUCCAGGCUGACAGAAUAGGAAUCUCUUGGGGAAGAACCCUGGAAUUUGCAUUUUAACAUACUUUCCAGUUGAUUUUGAAUCCUCCAAAUUUAAGAACCACUGAAGUGGAAGAGACUGAGAGGUGAGGGUUAUGAGAGUAAACACCUAAUAUUGAUAAGACCACCAUCUUACGGGAGUUCCCGUCAUGCCGCAGCAGAAACAAAUCCGACUAGGAACCAUGAGGUUGCAGGUUCAAUCCCUGGCCCUGCUCAGUGGGUAAAGGAUCCGGUGUUGCCGUAAGCUGUGGUGUGGGUCGCAGAACCGGCUUGGAUCCCACGUUGCUGUGGCUGUGGUGGAGACUGGAGGCUACAGCUCCGAUUCAACCCCUAGCCAGGGAACCUCCAUAUGCCAUGGAAGCAGUCCUAGAAAAGGCAAAAAGACAAAAAAAAAAAAAAAAAA